rnacentral:rRNA from 1 species
AUACGGAGGGUGCAAGCGUUGUUCGGAUUUACUGGGCGUAAAGCGCGUGUAGGCGGCUUUGUAAGUCAGAUGUGAAAGCCCUUGGCUUAACCGAGGAAGUGCAUUUGAUACUGCAAGGCUUGAAUACGGGAGAGGAAAGUGGAAUUCCUAGUGUAGAGGUGAAAUUCGUAGAUAUUAGGAAGAACACCAGUGGCGAAGGCGACUUUCUGGACCGAUAUUGACGCUAAGACGCGAAAGCGUGGGGAGCAAACAGGAUUAGAAACCCUAGUAGUCC